GACGAACGCUGGCGGUAGGCCUAACACAUGCAAGUCGAACGGAAACGCCCUGAUAUGGUGGGGUGCCCGCGUGGCGAACGGGUGCGUAACACGAGAGCAACCUGACCUAGACUUUGGGAUAACUUCAGGAAACUGGGGCUAAUACCGGAUAGGAGCCCAUGCUGCCUGGAGGGGGUUGGAAAGUCUCGGCGUGUGGGGAUGGACCAGCGGCUUAUGGGCUUGUUGGUGGGGUAGUGGUUUCCCAAGGCAGAGACAGGUAGCCGACAUGAGAGGUUGAACGGGCACAUUGGUGCGAAGGUACGGCCCAGAGUGCAACGGGAGGCAGCAGUAGGGAGUAUUGCACAAUGGGACGGAGCCUGUUACGACAACGCCGCGGGCGAAAUGACGGCCUGUUGGUUGUAAACCGCUUUCGCAUGUGACGAGGCGUGAGUGACGGUAAUGAGAAAAGAAGCACCGGCUAACUACGUG
rnacentral:rRNA from 1 species